rnacentral:rRNA from 1 species
GGGAGCGCGCUACCUGCAGUCGACGGGAACUUUCGGGUUCAGUGGCGGACGGGUGAGUAACACGUGAGAAUCUGCCCAUAGGACGGGGACAACAUCGGGAAACUGGUGCUAAUACCGGAUGAGCCGAGAGGUAAAACAUUUAUGGCCUAUGGAGGAGCUCGCGGCUGAUUAGCUAGUUGGUGGGGUAAGAGCCUACCAAGGCAUUGAUCAGUAGCUGGUCUGAGAGGAUGAUCAGCCACACUGGGACUGAGACACGGCCCAGACUCCUACGGGAGGCAGCAGUGGGGAAUUUUCCGCAAUGGGGGGAACCCUGACGGAGCAACGCCGCGUGAGGGAAGAAUGGUUGUGGCCAGUAAACCUCUUUUAAUAGGGAAGAAUUGAUGACGGUACCUAUUGAAUAAGCAUCGGCUAACUCCGUGCCAGCAGCCGCGGUAAGACGGAGGAUGCAAGUGUUAUCCGGAAUCACUGGGCGUAAAGCGUCUGUAGGUGGCGUGAUAAGUCAACUGUUAAAUCUUGAAGCUCAACUUCAAAAUCGCAGUCGAAACUAUCACGCUAGAGUAUAGUAGAGGUAAAGGGAAUUUCCAGUGGAGCGGUGAAAUGCGUAGAGAUUGGAAAGAACACCGAUGGCGAAGGCACUUUACUGGGCUAUUACUGACACUCAGAGACGAAAGCUAGGGUAGCAAAUGGGAUUAGAUACCCCAGUAGUCCUAGCCGUAAACAAUGGAUACUAGGUGUUGAACAGAUCGACUGUGCAGUACUAAAGCUAACGCGUUAAGUAUCCCGCCUGGGAAGUAUGCUCGNCAGAGUGAAACUCAAAGGAAUUGACGGGGGCCCGCACAAGCGGUGGAGC